UUUUUUAAAAAAAUAAUGUUCUCCUGUGUAUUAAUUUUGAGUAUUAUUAAUGUCUUCUUUAAUAUAUUUUAUCAACUUAUAUAGAAUCAAAUAUAUUUUAUAUUAUGUUAUGUAUAAUUAACGAAUGACACCUUAUGACAUGGAGCAACUUCAGCUUAUCGAAGACAUGAUCUUAGAUAGAAAGUUGUGGAGGAGGCGGAUUAGGGUAGAAGGUUAGUACAAGUUUAGGUUGUUGUUUCUUUUGUUGUAUUACUUGGUGUCUCUUGAUUAUGGUAUUAGCGGAUAUUGUUGAUUUCGAUUGUAUCUUGUUCUCUUACUAUUCUUUGUACAGAUUAUUUUAUUGUGAGCCGGG
rnacentral:lncRNA from 1 species